rnacentral:rRNA from 1 species
CAGUAACACGUAGUCAACAUGCCCUUUGGACGCGGAUAAUCUCGGGAAACUGAGAAUAAACCGCGAUAGGUCACGAUUUCUGGAAUGGAUUCUGGCUUAAAUCUACAUGGCCCCUGGAUUGGACUGCGGCCGAUCAGGCUGUUGGUGAGGUAAUGGCCCACCAAACCUAUAACCGGUACGGGCUCUGAGAGGAGGAGCCCGGAGAUGGGCACUGAGACAAGGGCCCAGGCCCUAUGGGGCGCAGCAGGCGCGAAACCUCUGCAAUAGGCGAAAGCCUGACAGGGUUACUCUGAGUGAUUUCCGCUAAGGGGAUCUUUUGGCACCUCUAAAAAUGGUGCAGAAUAAGGGGUGGGCAAGUCUGGUGUCAGCCGCCGCGGUAAUACCAGCACCCCGAGUGGUCGGGACGAUUAUUGGGCCUAAAGCAUCCGUAGCCGGUUCUGCAAGUCUUCCGUUAAAUCCAGCCGCUCAACGGAUGGGCCGCGGAGGAUACUAUAGGACUAGGAGGCGGGAGAGGCAAGCGGUACUCAGUGGGUAGGGGUAAAAUCCUUUGAUCCAUUGAAGA